rnacentral:rRNA from 1 species
UGGGGAAUCUUGCGCAAUGGGCGAAAGCCUGACGCAGCAACGCCGCGUGCGGGAAGAAGGCCCUCGGGUUGUAAACCGCUUUCAGAAGGAACGAAACUGACGGUACUUUCAGAAGAAGGUGCGGCCAACUACGUGCCAGCAGCCGCGGUGACACGUAGGCACCAAGCGUUGUCCGGAUUUAUUGGGCGUAAAGAGCUCGUAGGCGGUUCGAUAAGUCGGGUGUGAAAACUUUGGGCUCAACCCAAAGCGUGCAUUCGAUACUGUUGUGACUAGAGUUCGGUAGGGGAGUGGGGAAUUCCUAGUGUAGCGGUGAAAUGCGCAGAUAUUAGGAGGAACACCGGUGGCGAAGGCGCCACUCUGGGCCGAAACUGACGCUGAGGAGCGAAAGCGUGGGUAGCAAACAGGAUUAGAUACCCCGGUAGUCC